rnacentral:miRNA from 1 species
UAUUCCUUAAGUAGGCAAAGUU